rnacentral:rRNA from 1 species
GACGAACGCUGGCGGCGUGCUUAACACACGCAAGUCGAACGGAAAGGCCCUGCUUUUGUGGGGUGCUCGAGUGGCGAACGGGUGAGUAACACGUGAGCAACCUGCCCUUGACUUUGGGAUAACUUCAGGAAACUGGGGCUAAUACCGGAUAGGAGCUCCUGCUGCAUGGUGGGGGUUGGAAAGUUUCGGCGGUUGGGGAUGGACUCGCGGCUUAUCAGCUUGUUGGUGGGGUAGUGGCUUACCAAGGCUUUGACGGGUAGCCGGCCUGAGAGGGUGACCGGCCACAUUGGGACUGAGAUACGGCCCAGACUCCUACGGGAGGCAGCAGUGGGGAAUAUUGCACAAUGGGCGGAAGCCUGAUGCAGCAACGCCGCGUGCGGGAUGACGGCCUUCGGGUUGUAAACCGCUUUCGCCUGUGACGAAGCGUGAGUGACGGUAAUGGGUAAAGAAGCACCGGCUAACUACGUG